rnacentral:rRNA from 1 species
GACAGAGGUGCCGAGCGUUAGGCGGAAUCACUGGGCUUAAAGCGUGCGUAGGCGGAGUGCUAAGUACCUUGUGAAAUCCCACGGCUUAACCGUGGAACUGCUUGGUAUACUGGUUCUCUUGGGUCAUCUAGGGGCGAGCGGAACAAACGGUGGAGCGGUGAAAUGCGUAGAUAUCAGGAGGAACACCAAUGGCGAAGGCAGCUCGCUGGGACGUGACUGACGCUGAGACGCGAAAGCGUGGGGAGCAAACAGG